AGUAUCAUAGCACAGAUUUGGGAUAACCCAACGGAAACGCCACGGGAACCCGGUGGCUAGGAGUAGAACUAGGAUCCCAGGCUGCGAUGGCCCCGCCUUUUCAGUCUCCUUAACUGGUUCCUCUUCCGUUGUUGGGAUUCCUUUGAAUGAGGCUAUGGAGUAUACACUGCCUUCUCUGGACCAGUCUUGCAACUUUUCGACCUGGAUUUGAGCCAACGUUAUUUUGCUUCCUUAAAUAACUACUUUCUCCAGUUAUUUACUGAAAAUGUUCACAUGAGAGAUACGUUGAGUCCUUGCUUUUACUAAAAUGUAGUGAUUGUAAUGACUUUAUUUUCCUAGACUCAGAUAAAAGUCUCACUUCAUUCAUGAAACUUCCUUACAAUCAGCAGUGACCUCUGCCCCAUCUUACGUUUUAACACUUACUAUAUCAUUCAGUAGUCAUUAGCCAUAUACUCUAAUUGUGUAAUCUAAUGUUGCAUAUGCAUUUUAUCUUUCAAACGAAUUAGUCAUAAACUUUUAUGAAUUCUUCAAAGUGCCUGCUUCAGUGUAUGACACAAAAAUUAUCUGUCUCGUUACAAUAUCUAACACCAAGCAGA